rnacentral:rRNA from 1 species
CGCAGGCUGCAACCCGCCUGCGUGAAGUCGGAAUCGCUAGUAAUCGCGGAUCAGCAUGCCGCGGUGAAUACGUUCCCGGGCCUUGUACACACCGCCCGUCACACCAUGGAAGUCGGUAAUGCCCGAAGUCAGUAGCCUAACCGCAAGGGGGGCGCUGCCGAAGGCAGGAUUGAUGACUGGGGUGAAGUCGUAACAAGGUAAC